AUGACCGAGACAUUGCUGGCGGGGUCGAAGUUGUCCUCGUACCUCAGCACCUGACCGGGAUACUCCACCUCCUUGCUUACAUUCCAUUUGGCCGGUAUAAGCAGCUUGAAACCAUCACCUUCGUACGGCAGGAAAUCCGUGUUCGACUUCGGCUUUCCGAAAACAUUAGCAGCUUCCCCGUAGGCCGCAUUGGCGGGCGGGGCUUUAGCUCCGAUGGCGGCUGCACCGAGUAGGACGGUGAGAGCGAGGCGACGAGAUACGACGGUUUCGCUGUCGGUGUUGAUCUCGGACUUUUGAGACUUGCAGAUGAGCUGGGUGGGCUUGGCGGUGGCAGUGGGUGUGAGGCGGGGAAGUUUGGUUAAGGUGGGGGCAUGGUGGUGGAGUAAGCAUGCAGUCGAUGCCAUUUCUGCUCAGUUUGCUCUGGUAUGGUG
rnacentral:misc_RNA from 1 species